CUAUUAUCUGAAUUAAUCGUCAUUACUUGCAAUUUUGUAUUUAAUUUUCAUUUCUUCACUAAUUUAUUUUCAUCUUAAUAUUAAUAGAUUUAAUUUGUUUAACUUUUAAUGUGUCUAGUUUUUUUUCUUGUCUAGAAUUGAAAAUUGUCAAUCAAUAUCUAGGGUUUAAUUCAAGUUUUAAGAUUAAUUACUCUGUGAUUUACUUUCUUGUUUGCUCCAGUUACUUUUUUUCUCGUCUCUCGUCUGUUAUCAACAUCGAGAAGGAGGGAAAAACGUUAAUCAAUUAUAUUUGGUGUACUUUCGUAUGGAUUAUUUUAUUGUUUCAAACAUUAUCAACAAUAGUCAAAUGUAGUCGAUAAAAUAUUGGAAAACGAAAAGAAUGCGUUGGUUUUUUUCUGGUUAUUAUUGCUGUUGAUAAUCUGUGUCAAGUCGUAUUUGUAUCAUUACAUUGAUUGGCUUAUCGUAAUGUUUUGAUUCAACAACAUGGAUUGUACUCAAAGCUGUAUCGUACAAUUGAAUACAUGAAAGAAAAGGCUGAGCCUGUUUGCUGUAAAGUGUAUACAUAAUACAAAUACAAAUGCAUCUGUAUAUUGAUAUCCUAAUUGAAAAUCGAUUUCAAGCCUUUGAGCAACUAAUAUCAUGAAAAAAAGGAGAAUAAUAAAAGCCAACAAAAAGAAAGAGCAAAGAAAAUAGUGGAUGAAAAUGACAAGGGAGCAAAAUUUAGAAGAGCAAGAAAUGGAAGAAGAAUCACAAUUUUCAGGUUCAUGGGAUUGUCCUAAUCCAAUCCAAAGAAGCAAAUUGAAGAGAAACGAAGGCAAAAAAGUUGACUUGUUUCGCUCAUUUUGAUUAUCAUUAUACCAUGAGACUCAGCAAAUGUUUGAACUGAAAAUGAAUUGUGGAUAUUCAAAGACAGAAUUAAUGAAGCAUCGAGAAUCGGUUGAAAUGGGGAAACAGAGAGCCAGGAAGAUAUGAUUUCCAAUCAUUAUUAUCAUUUUGUGGAAAGAAGAUGGGAAUGAAAGGAAAAAUAAAAAGGAGAUUCAAGAUGAAGAUUGAAUUGAAAUGGUCAUUUUUCAUGUAAACCUUUUGAGGUCAACUUUCAUUGUAAUGGAAACAUUCUUUUUAUAUGUUUGCAAAAACAAAAUAUUGACCCAAUCUUUUAGAGUUGAA